UACGUAGGGUGCGAGCGUUGUCCGGAAUUAUUGGGCGUAAAGGGCUCGUAGGCGGUCUGUUGCGUCGGGAGUGAAAACUCAGGGCUUAACCCUGAGCCUGCUUCCGAUACGGGCAGACUAGAGGUAUGCAGGGGAGAACGGAAUUCCUGGUGUAGCGGUGAAAUGCGCAGAUAUCAGGAGGAACACCGGUGGCGAAGGCGGUUCUCUGGGCAGUAACUGACGCUGAGGAGCGAAAGCGUGGGGAGCAAACAGG
rnacentral:rRNA from 1 species